AUUAGUUUAAACUCACAAAUAUCAUAGCAAUACAAUAUUAUUUGCAGAUCAAAUAAAAAGAACAAACUUUUUGCUGAUGAUCAUAUUUAAUCCAAAGUCUAACAAUUUCACAAUCAAACAAACCCUGAGUUAAGGAAACUUAAUGCUUGUUCAAGCUAAUGCAUCUGAGCAUGUGAUGAUGUGGGUCUUCAUCUAGUGAGAUGCAAUCGUGGAUCAUGGUUCUACCUUGCUGUUGGAAGUUUCAACAGAAUUGAAGGUGAGGCCUGAGUUUCUCUUAGAAUCGAAGACGCAGAAAGGACAUGCAGCAGCCGAGGAGGGUCAUUCAUGCAAACAACCGUUACUAGAAAUGAAGAAUAGUAAU
rnacentral:misc_RNA from 1 species